UCCCUCUCCCUUUCUUUUGCUUGAAUUUGUCCUACAUUUCGUAAUAUUACGUGCCUGCCAUCCUUAUUGUAUACCAGAGGUACAACACCACUCUCACCCCCAUUCCGGUGUGGACUUCUCUGAGAUCGGUGGCACUUGGGACACUUCAGUGCCUUGGAGAGAAAAGGAUGCUGGCACUCCAUGCCAGUGCACGGCUCCAUGGAAUGAACGCCUGCUGUUGGACCCUUGCAGAGCUCUGCCACCAAACACCCUCCUGCACUGGAAAUCGGGGACUCCUCCAGGAUCUUAUGCGUGCUUGCUGUUUGAAGCUGCAGAAAAGUGAAUAAUCAAUUAAGUAUUGAUUUCUUGUAAGAUUUGGUAAAUUUCAAAGGCAAGACAAAGAGGAUGGCUUAAGGAAACACUGCAGGGACUUGGCGUAAAUUAGACAACUAACGGAAGCGCAGAAUAAAAUAACACCUCAAUUGAAGAUUUCCUUGGAAGAAUUAGCACUAGCUAUUGGAAGACAAUGGUGGAUUUAAUCAAAACAGCAGGCAUGCAAGAAUUUUACCCGUGAACCAGAAAAAGGAGCUAAUUAUAACCACCUUUUUAAUGGAGCUAAUUUGACUGAAUGGAUGCAAAUGGGCUUUAUUUAUGGAUGAAGAAGCAAACCUUACUGCAAUGAUCUUGGGAUCGUCGUAUCUGUUAGCUUUGCAGCUCCUGUUACCUUCAGUACAUUUUUAUUUCCGGAGAAGGUAUUUAUAUGUAAACAACAGCUAACCAUGCACAAGAUUCAUUGGAACAAUAUACUAUGGUAUAUGAGAUAUAAUCAUAAUUUUGCAGCCUCUCAAUAUUGCCCCUAAGUUGGGGGUGUUGCAACCUUUGCAUGCAAUGGGUUAUGGUAAAUAAUAAAUGCAUGAUAUUAAACUGUUGUGAUUUUUCAAUAUGUAGUUUAUUAAUUUUAGCUUUAUUAAUAUGUUGAUUCAGAAUUACUUGGCAAUUAAUUCAUAAUGAAAAGAAGGUAAUUGUUGGGUGUUUUGUUUAUUUUUUUAUGCAUUUGCAGUCUUCUUAGAGAUUGGAAUGUGUAGGUCCCACCAGCCCAUGAGCUCUGUAAUUAUAAGAGAAUGGUAAAAUUUUUUGACAAUUGAGAAUUGGUUUUAUAAUGGGAACAAUGUGUUAUAAUCAGUAAAAGAAGAAUUGUUGUUUUCUCCCUGGGUAGAAUGUUCUUGACUAGUUAACUCUUCUGCUGCUGAUGAGAAGUAAAUAUCCUGUAAACUGGCUGGAGGGGAAGGUUGAAUGAUGAUGCUUUGUUUCUGUGCAUCCUCACAUUUCAGGCUAAAGUGAAUUUUAAGCAUUUCCUUCUAAUUCUAUAAUUUUCUUUCUCUAUUUUUCUUCUUUGCAUCUUUUUUUUUUGCUGUCUUGCAAUCUACGUUCCCUGAGCAACCAUAGGAACCAAGUUACAUUAAGCUUCAACACAAAGACCUUGUAAGAAUAAUGAAUCCUCAUUUGCAUCGACAUUUGUAUUCAGAUUUGCCAGGCUAUAAACUUGGCAGAUCAAGUGGAAUAUUAAGUAGAGGCUUCCAUGGUAAAUUGUGGCUCUUGAAAUUGUUAAGUCCUCCUCCCUAUUUUUUCUCUCUCUGGUGGCAGGUGAAGUCUCAUGACUACUUGCUUCAUAAGAAAGGCAUUGGCCCCUUCAUCUUUCAGUGUGUGAUGUCAGUUUCAAGUGGAAGAGAGAAAAGCCAGUACUAGGUAUUCCAGCUGAAGGUACAACAUUAACUCUAGAAGCCAGAGACUGUGGCAGAAGCAUCAUUAAGUAAUGGAAUGGUGUGAGAAAAUGAUCAUAUGUGGGCUAAGAUUUGAUUUUUCUGGUGAAUUCAAAAUAUAUUAAUCUCAUAAAAGUUCACACUUGUAUCUUAAAGUUUCUUAAAGGUACAGGAGGAUCAAGGUGGUUCCUUAUUCAUGAAAUAAUUUGAUUAUGUCAUUCUGAGUCAUGGUCUCUGGUCUACUCAUGCCCAUUCUUGAAAUACUUAAAAUGACUUAUUUUACUUAGUCACUGUGGAUUGUCUGAUUCAAUCCUUUGAUUGAUUCUGAAAUGACAAAAUAGGAAUAGUCAUAGUUACUUCUGUGCAUGACCUAAAAGGUCAAUUCUACAAUAUAGUAAACAAUGGGGUAAAAAAUGCAAACUUUAAUUUCCAUGUUUUAUCCAGUCUAUGUGAUGCCAAACAAGUAAUUGGAAACAUUUGUGCAUGAUUUAAUUUUGCAUGCAUGAUCCCAUUGUUUCAGAAUCUUGUAAACAGUCUGAAGAUUUAUACCUUAUUAACAAACUCACUUUUUGUCAUCUUUUUUCUUUCAAGAACCCUUCACUAGUGGGGCACUAUAAAAUAUAUUAGAAGAUCAACUUUGCAAUGAACUUACAAUGGACAUCUUAACCAUGGCUUUUCUUUCUAAAUU